GUAAAUACAAAAUAAUAAGUGGAACAUUCGAAUUGUGACACUUUGCAGGGAAUGGUAGCAUUUUCGAUACAUUGCAGGGAACCAGGAUAGAGAAAUGCAGGGUGAGACAGAUGUAAAAAAUAUAAAGAUAUGUUAUAUUUUUGACGUUCUACUGGAAUUUCAGUGGAAAUUUACAUGCGGCUAUUCUAAACAUAACCUUUAAGUUAAAAUCAAAUAUUUUAUAAUUUUCACGAAGUAUUAUAAGGAGCACUCACUCCAUUUUAGCAGAUAUAGCCACGGUUUCGCCAAAUCAAUUAGAGAAAUGUCCCAUAACGAUUAGAACGCCUCUACAGGAAAAGCUAUGUACUUUAUAGUUUUUCACAAUAUGUCUGCGCCUAAUAUCGUCUGCUACUGCUCGUAAAUAAAGACUGCUUUGACUUUGUGAAGUGAUGAUUUUUAUUGCGUUUAAUAUGAUAAAUAAAUGAAAUAAAUAAAUAAAUAAAAAAGUACACAUAUAAAAAAAUAACAAUUUGUGGAAAGAAUUUUGUGAGAUAACAUAAACGUGGUUAUAUCAUCAUCUGACACCCAUCUGUACAGAGAAAAUAAUGGAAAAUUCGAUGAAUAUAGUUUGUCCAUUCAAAUAUUUACAAAACAACUUGUACCAAGUAAAAUUACCUUCCAAAAGUUGGUCUUUUGCAGAAGGAAACAGUUCUUAUUUUGGAUUCAUAAGAAUGGAAAAAAAUGGUGAUAUCAAGAAAAAAGUAGGAGUGUUUUUGGAGUCUGGUGUACACAUUUAUAUAGAAGACAGAAUGCUUCCGUUUGGAAAAUACAUAAAAUUUACCAAAAUUGAGGAACUAGAAAACCUUUUGCAAGAUGUUGAAGAAUAUAAGUAAUAUUAUAGAUAUAUUAUUAUGAAAUUGAGAAUUUUUUUUUUAUUUCAUUUUGAUUCAAUUGUAUUUAUUAAGUUUCGAAAAAAAGUUAUUUAAAUUGAAACAUCAAAUUGUACAUAAAAUAAUGGAGUUAUAUUUUUUAAUCAAUUUUUUUAGAUAUAAAAUUUUCAUGACAUGAUAAUGAAUUAUAAUAUUUUUUAUCAAUGUUUAAUCAAAAGUUUAUUUCUACUCUUUUGAGAGUAGAAAUUAAUUUUAAUUUAAAUAAAUAAAUCAACACAA